rnacentral:rRNA from 1 species
AGAAUCAACGCUGGCGGCGUGCCUAACACAUGCAAGUCGAACGAGAAAGUGGAGCAAUCCAUGAGUAAAGUGGCGACCGGGUGAGUAACACGUGACUAACCUACCUUUUAGUGGGGGAUAACCUCGGGAAACCGAGGCUAAUACCGCAUAACAUCGCAAGAUCAAAGCAGCAAUGCGCUGGAAGAGGGGGUCGCGGCUGAUUAGCUAGUUGGCGGGGUAACGGCCCACCAAGGCGAAGAUCGGUAUCCGGCCUGAGAGGGCGCACGGACACACUGGAACUGAAACACGGUCCAGACUCCUACGGGAGGCAGCAGUGGGGAAUUUUGCGCAAUGGGGGAAACCCUGACGCAGCAACGCCGCGUGGAGGAUGAAGCCCCUUGGGGCGUAAACUCCUUUCGACCAAGACGAUAAUGACGGUACUGGUGGAAGAAGCACCGGCUAACUCUGUGCCAGCAGCCGC